UAUUUAUUAUUAUUUCCCUAUAGCUGGCUAACACCAUGGUGGCAGCUCCAGAGAGUACACCUAGAAUGCUGUCCAUGGAAUAAAAAACAUCAGACUCUCCACCUCCAAAGAUUCUAUUGUCUUGAGUAUUGAUUGUGGUUAGCCUCAGGAAGCUUUGGGAAGUUUUGGAAAUAGCCAGCUACCACUGCUACAGUCACUUUCUACAUUGCUUGGCCAGAAGAGAAAGAAGAAAUAAUCUAGUUCCCCCCACCAUCUCACCCUCCACACACAGGAUCCCUGAGCCACGGCAUGGACACUGUUAUGUUAUGGCAUUAUGCCUCGCUGUGAAUUUGCAGAGCAGUGAGGGAACACUGCUAAGCUGCAAAACUUCUGAAUUUCCAUGCAGAAGAUGCAUCACUGAGACGAGGAACAGAGAUGAUGUCUCCUUCCUUUUGGAACCAC
ensembl:lncRNA